GGUGCAGGCGGUUUUUCAAGUCGGAUGUAAAAUCUCCCGGCUUAACUGGGAGGGAUCAUUCGAUACUGUUGGGCUAGAGGGCAGCAGAGGAAAGUGGAAUUCCCGGUGUAGUGGUGAAAUGCGUAGAUAUCGGGAGGAACACCAGUGGCGAAGGCGGCUUUCUGGGCUGUUUCUGACGCUGAGGCCCGAAAGCGUGGGGAGCGAACAGGAUUAGAUACCCUGGUAGUCC
rnacentral:rRNA from 1 species